rnacentral:rRNA from 1 species
UGGGGAAUUUUGGACAAUGGGCGAAAGCCUGAUCCAGCCAUUCCGCGUGCAGGAUGAAGGCCCUCGGGUUGUAAACUGCUUUUGUACAGAACGAAAAGGUCUCUAUUAAUACUAGGGGCUCAUGACGGUACUGUAAGAAUAAGCACCGGCUAACUACGUGCCAGCAGCCGCGGUAAUACGUAGGGUGCAAGCGUUAAUCGGAAUUACUGGGCGUAAAGCGUGCGCAGGCGGUUAUAUAAGUCAGAUGUGAAAUCCCCGGGCUCAACCUGGGAACUGCAUUUGAGACUGUAUAGCUAGAGUACGGUAGAGGGGGAUGGAAUUCCGCGUGUAGCAGUGAAAUGCGUAGAUAUGCGGAGGAACACCGAUGGCGAGGGCAAUCCCCUGGACCUGUACUGACGCUCAUGCACGAAAGCGUGGGGAGCAAACAGGAUUAGAUACCCUGGUAGUCCACGCCCUAAACGAUGUCAACUGGUUGUUGGGUCUUAACUGACUCAGUAACGAAGCUAACGCGUGAAGUUGACCGCCUGGGGAGUACGGCCGCAAGGUUG